UUUUUUUUUUUUUUUUUUUAAUAUAAUUAAUAAGAACUUAACUUUUGAGCAAACAUGACUAGGGUUUGGUUAGGGCAGGAGCCCCUGUGGGAAGUACAACAGGCAGUGGCUUGCUCAUGGCAAUCGAUCGAUCAAGAAUAGCUUCAUCAUCAAUCAAGAGUAUAACAAGACAUUUUCAUUGCUCACUCUCCCUCAAGGGCUUCCGGCGGAAAUAUUGCCAGAAAUGGCAAGCUUCGCUGGUCGGAGGUCAGUAGGGAGAGUGAACAAUAAUUGUCUUGAAGUUUAUAAAGCUUAUCAUCGAUCAUCGAUCAUCAUCCAUCGUCAACAAGAACGACAAUAACAAUGGCAUUGAUUGCUCACUCUCCCUCAAGGGCUUCUGUAUGUACAUUUUCUGGUUGAAACGAUCAGUUAAGUGUUUACACAGAGGUCCUUAGGAAGAGUGGAUAACGCUUGCCAUUUCAUGCACGGGACAUCCAUUGUUUUCGAACUUGGGGAGGGUUUAAGAAACAAGGAAGUGGCAACGAAUGACCAACAGACGAUAGGGUAAAGUUGAAGUUGAUAAAUAAAGACAAGAGCAGUCGCAUCCAUCCACUUCUAUCAACCUUUAACUUUUGAUGCAUACCUAUUAUUAUUGUAGUGCAGCUAAUUACUUAAAGGUUAAAUUGAAAAACAAGAAGAAAGAUGUAUCCAAGGGGAAAUAUUUCAACCUAAGGGGUUGAACUCUCUAUCUCUGUCAAUACAACAAUGAUCUAACACGAAGAAAUUAGUCUAUCAUCUAACCAUUAAACGAGCGUGGAGAUACCUUAAUAAUACCAAAAAAUAUAUUUCAAUUUCGAAUUUCAUUGAAGGAGAGAAUAGGGUUUAACAAACAACAGAGACAAGAAGUAGGACUUCAAUAGUUACAAAACACUACUUUACAAACUCAUGAGUUACUAUCAAACCACUAAUUUAUAAUUUCAAUAUUAUUUCCACAUUUGCUUAAUUUGCUAACUAAGCAA